ACGUUUAUCCGGACUGGAGCCCGCCGCUCCCGGCCGGGUUUCCGGGUGGUUCGCGCUCCUUCUGAAUUGGCAGCGAGGUCGCGGCAGGUUCGAGGCUGUCUGGGAAGUGAGAAUCCUCCCUAAUGGAUGUUUCACCCAAUUAAAUAAUUAACUCCAAGUGUUGCUAAGCAUCCUCGCCUCUCACCUUCCAGUCCUGGAGGCGUCCUCAUGCCAGGCUGCGGCUGCUGCUGAGACAAGGAGCCUAGUGGGAGGAGCCAGGAGUGGGGGACAGUGCCCCUGAUGCUUCUGUACAGGAUGAGGGAGAUAAAUGCACCUGAGAGGGAAGGAAUUUUAAAGCCAGUUGGAGUGAAAAUGUCCUCAUCUUCUCUGGGACAGGAAAUCCUUUUUACCUACAUAGAAAAGUUACGUUAUUGGAAUUUACAUCCCUCCUCCAUAAGAAAAAAGACAUCUUCUCUUCCAAAUGUCCACCAUGCUAAUUUUAUCUCUUUCUUAUUAUAUUUAACUUUAAAAAUCUUGAUCAUUAUAAUUGCUGUGGGUCGUAUAUUCACUGUGAAUAUUCUGUGAGAGAUGACAGUUUUAUUCUUAAUAACCUGCAUAUUAAGAAUCGCCAUGCCUUUUUCAUGGUUAGUGUUCAAUCCACAUGUUAAAAGAAUGAAAAAUGCAUUACUGAAUUAUCUUAUAUUACCCUUUUUUGCAGAAUCAUUCUUUGUAGUGUUAGUGAAAUAUGCCGAAUAUUAAAAUAGGAACCAAACUUUUUAUAAAAUGCUGCCUCUGCUGUCUCACAAUGCCUAAUGCUACCUCUAAACGAUAGUUAUUAUUCUUUUCUGUCAUAUAAAGAAACAUAGUCAUGCCAAUUGGUUUUUUGCCACUAUAUAUCCAGUGGGAAUCACACAGAGAAUCAAUUCAUUACAAUGAUAAAUUACACCAUUAAAUAGUAUAUUAUGCCAGAAUAAUCUAGAAGGUCAUGAAAGAAAGAUUAAGAGAUGACAAGAGAAUCUACAAUGUGUAAGAAAGUGCAUGAUACAUGAAAAAAUAGGUUUUGGUUUGAUAUCUACCAAAUAUGUUAAAUGAAUAUAUAACCCUGUAAAAAUUGAAAAAUUACAUACUUGUAAAAUCAGAAUAAAACUUGAGAUACUCAUCUUUUGUAUAACUUACAUGAAAUUGUACCAAGUGAUGACUUUUUAAAUACAGUUCUAGUUAUUUCAUAUUUCUACUCAAGUAAUGUGGUUUGCUCCAUAGGAGUUAUUUGAAAAUAAACCUCUUUUCAAAUGCUCAAA
ensembl:lncRNA novel transcript